UACAGAGGGUGCAAGCGUUAAUCGGAGUUACUGGGCGUAAAGGGCGCGUAGGCGGCCGCGUAAGUUAGAUGUGAAAUCCCUGGGCUUAACCUAGGAACUGCAUUUAAGACUGCGCGGCUGGAGUACAGUAGAGGGCAGUGGAAUUUCCGGUGUAGCGGUGAAAUGCGUAGAGAUCGGAAGGAACACCAGUGGCGAAGGCGGCUGCCUGGACUGAUACUGACGCUGAGGCGCGAAAGCGUGGGGAGCAAACAGG
rnacentral:rRNA from 1 species